rnacentral:lncRNA from 1 species
AUAAAGACCUAUACAAGAAGACAACACCUUCCCUCCAAAAACCUACCAGCCUUUUCAUUAUUUUAUUCUUGUAAUGACCUGUCUAUCAUGUGCUUUUCCACAUAUACAUUUAUAUUCUUUUUUUUUUUUUUAUUUUAUCUUUUCUCUUGCCUCCAUUUACUGACUCUCUUUUGCUUGUCUCACUAAAUACUUCUGCUUCUUGAUCAUAUGUAUCAUUUUAUUGUAUGUUUGGCUGUGUGCAAUACUCUAUAGAAAGAUUUUUUUGAGAACUUGAGUACUUUGCAGCCUUAUAUAUUUAUAUUUAUAUAUUUAUUGGUUUUGAUUGUUGAAUCAUGAGCAUAUAAAGAGGGUUGCUUCUUGCUAGGUUAAGCUAUACCUAGAGAAAAAAACGGAAGGAAAAGAUGGUGUUUGGAAUGAAGUUUGAUCCAAGAUCCUUUUUUCUUCUUUCUCUACUUUCUGUUAGUGUUUGGUUUUGAUCUUUUGUUUUCAAUCUUUUUCCAUUUUGGCUUAAUCUGUUAUCAUGCAUCAAGAAAGAGAUUUUGAAGAAGAGAAGUUUUCUUGAUUUUUCUUUUUGUUUCAAGAUUCUCUCUCUUCUUCUCUCCCUCUACUCUAGCUACAUCUGUGUGACUUGUGAGAGAGAAAGAGAGUGAAAAUUUGCAUUUAUGUCUGAAAGAUCUUUUUAUGCUUUUUUGUCAAAAUUAAAAUUUUCAGAUUUUUUUUUUUCUCUUUUUUUUGUUGUCUUUGAUGUUUUAAGUAAUUAAUUACUUGAUAAUAUCCAAAGACUGAUCUCGGACCAGGCUUCAUUCCUCACACCAAGCUUCUCCAUGCUCAAAUACAAGACCCUAAAGGUAAUAUCAUAUAUAUGUAUAUAUAUAUUAUAAGUAUUUGGAUUUGUCAAGCUUUCUAUACUAUGCCAUAUAUGGUUUUCUGAAUAGAACUCUGUCUGUGCUAAUCAAAUAUGGAUGUUCUCUUAUGGAUUUUCAAUUUACAUGGGAAUAGUUUUAUCAGUUCUUGCACAGAAAACAUUUGUAUAUUUGAUAUAUUCAUGUUCCUUUAUUCCUUGAUGGAAUGUUGCUGAUUUAACUUUGUUAAAACCAAACCUUUCAUUUUCUUUUAAGCUGCAUCUAUGGUUUUCUGUAAAAAUAUUUUAUUUGUUUGCCCAAGAUUCUCAGACAAAGUAUACAAGACACAUAACUAUGAUGCUUUAUCAGAAAUAUGAUGUCAUUCAAUAAAAUUAUUUAUUCUUCUGUUUUAUUUUUUCUUUGAGAAGAAUUUAUUCUUUACUUAUUUCCCUACUGCUCCAACCUGCUUCUUGGCUCUAAUUUUUCUAUAAACAUAAAUGCUUUUCCUUUAAUAAAAAAUAAUUAAUAACUUGACAUUUUCCUAGACAUAUAAAUCAUUCUCAAUAUAGUUUAUUUUACUGAGUUAUGGAUCUCACAUGUAUAAACCCUAAGUAGCAGCAGAUAUAUAUAUAUGUUGUCUUCAUCAAUUUAUAUAUGGAUGUUUGUAGUUUUCCAUUUUCUUUAAUUUUGUGCCAUAAAACUAUGAUGCCAUUUUCAAAAGUUUGUACUGUAUAUAAAUAUAUAAAACCCUAUUGAAGAAUAUACAUAUCCAAUUGUCAUGCGCCACAUAAACUAGCUAGGACAGUUUUGGCAUCCCUGCUCAUUUUCAUUAUAUACAAUGUGUUAGUUUUUCUUUAUAAAUAUAAUUGGAUUCUAAAAACAUUUUUGGCAUUAUAUUAAUUGGGUCAUUGUACUUUACAUGUCUUAAUUUGAAUAAUAUAUAUAUAUAUUUUCCUCAUUUAUCAAUGGCUUAUGUUAAUUAUGUCUUUCUAGGGUUUGGCAUUUUAUGAGUGAAAUGAUCCAUCUAUAAUUACAUGUUUUUCAGUUACAUCAUAUCAUGUAGUCAUAAUUAAGCAGAUGAUUAGUGCUAUAUAUGCUGUUGAUUGAGGCAUGAUUAGAUGUGAUUAACUAAAUUUGUUGGAGAGGAG